rnacentral:rRNA from 1 species
GACGAACGCUGGCGGCGUGCCUAAUACAUGCAAGUUGAGCGCUGAAGGUUGGUACUUGUACCGACUGGAUGAGCAGCGAACGGGUGAGUAACGCGUGGGGAAUCUGCCUUUGAGCGGGGGACAACAUUUGGAAACGAAUGCUAAUACCGCAUAAAAACUUUAAACACAAGUUUUAGGUUUGAAAGAUGCAAUUGCAUCACUCAAAGAUGAUCCCGCGUUGUAUUAGCUAGUUGGUGAGGUAAAGGCUCACCAAGGCGAUGAUACAUAGCCGACCUGAGAGGGUGAUCGGCCACAUUGGGACUGAGACACGGCCCAAACUCCUACGGGAGGCAGCAGUAGGGAAUCUUCGGCAAUGGACGAAAGUCUGACCGAGCAACGCCGCGUGAGUGAAGAAGGUUUUCGGAUCGUAAAACUCUGUUGGUAGAGAAGAACGUUGGUGAGAGUGGAAAGCUCAUCAAGUGACGGUAUCUACCCAGAAAGGGACGGCUAACUACGUG